rnacentral:sRNA from 1 species
UAGUAAAGAAUUUACCAAGUGUCGUUAUAUCAACCGGUAAAGAUCUUAGGCAAAGUUUAGAGAUCGCCGGUUCGAGUGACGAUCAGAAUAAAACUAAUAUUACAUGUUGUGGUUUCAGACCUAUGAGAUUACGAGUUUUGUUCCAGAAUCUUCUGCUAUUCAAAAAAAACAUUA